CUGUUCAGAUUAGCCAUGCAUGUGCCAGUGUAAGCUUCAGCAUGGCCGGACUGUGAAUGGCUCAUUACAACAGUUGUAGCUCAUGUGGUGGUCUGUCUACAUGGAUAACCGUGUUAAUUCUAGAACUAAUACAUGUUCAAAUGCCCGACUCUGUGGUAGGGUGGUGCUUAUUUGCAACAGAACCAGCCCAGGCAAUCCCUGGCUCCUCGGUGAGUCAUAAUAAUGUGGAUAUAUUGUAUGGCAUCAGCAGAUGGUGGUUCAUUCAAGCUUCUGACCUAUCAGCUUCCGAUGGUUGGGCAUUUGCCUACCCUGGCAAUGACGGGUAACGGAGAAUUAGGGUUUGACACCGGAGAGGGAGCCUGAGAAGCGGCUACUACAUCUAAGGAAGGCAGCAGGCGCGCAAAUUACCCAAUCUUGACACAGAGAGGUAGUGACAAGGAAUACCAAGACUGGGCAUCUAUGUCUUGUAAUUGGCAUGAGUAGAAUAUGAAGCCUUCUAU
rnacentral:rRNA from 1 species